rnacentral:rRNA from 1 species
CUUGUGACCUUCUAUACAUGCAGUCGAGCGAAUGGAUUAAGAGCUUGCUCUUAUGAAGUUAGCGGCGGACGGGUGAGUAACACGUGGGUAACCUGCCCAUAAGACUGGGAUAACUCCGGGAAACCGGGGCUAAUACCGGAUAACAUUUUGAACCGCAUGGUUCGAAAUUGAAAGGCGGCUUCGGCUGUCACUUAUGGAUGGACCCGCGUCGCAUUAGCUAGUUGGUGAGGUAACGGCUCACCAAGGCAACGAUGCGUAGCCGACCUGAGAGGGUGAUCGGCCACACUGGGACUGAGACACGGCCCAGACUCCUACGGGAGGCAGCAGUAGGGAAUCUUCCGCAAUGGACGAAAGUCUGACGGAGCAACGCCGCGUGAGUGAUGAAGGCUUUCGGGUCGUAAAACUCUGUUGUUAGGGAAGAACAAGUGCUAGUUGAAUAAGCUGGCACCUUGACGGUACCUAACCAGAAAGCCACGGCUAACUACGUGCCAGCACCGCGCGGUAAUA